UUGGCUACAAAACACUUCUAAAACUUUACAGAUACAUAACAAAUGCUGAUUAAAAUAUGUAAUAUUUGAUGGACUCUAGGUAUACAAAUAUACUUAAUUUUGGAUGGACUCUUGUUUCUUUUGUUGGGCCAGACUAGUACAUAUGUAAAUUAGCCCAAGAUAACUAUUUGAUAUUUACAUAUUACUAAACUUAAAGUACCCAUAGGCCCAUUUAUUUUAACAAAUUUUCUAGAGACGGAACCUUAAAGCAAUAUUAUUGGCAGUAUCUUAGCCAAAUCAAGAUUUUUUUCUUCACAUAUCUUAACCUAAGAUUUGGCUAAGAUACUACCAAUAAUAGUGGUUUUAGUUCAAACGAUAACCGCGGGUGAUGAAUCUGAGAUCCGUGGUUGCACAGGUUGGGAGGAGUAUGGGUUCUCGCCGCUAUUUUUCUGCACCGCCUAGUGGUAGCAACUCCUAUGGGGAGACGAUCAUUCAUUAUCCACGAUCAGAAACUCCCCUACUGGCGGAUUUGAUUAGAUUGCAUCUUGCAUGCGUUGUUGAACUACUGAUAAAAUAAUUAGAUUUACAACUUCUUCUUUUUGACAACUGUAAUUUCAUUAAACUUAACAUAAAGUAUUUCUUGGCAAU
rnacentral:lncRNA from 1 species